UCCUCGUAGUAUAACAAUUACCCUGGUCUUGUAAACCAAAAAUGAAGUACAACCCUUCCUAGGACA
rnacentral:tRNA from 1 species